UGUUUGGUUUUAUUAUUAUUUGUUAUUUAUUGUAUAUGUGAAUCCAAGUGUGUGAUUAGGAUGAAAUCAGGCACCGAAAUGUGUAUCUUUUCAUAUAUAAUAAGGGUCCAAAGUCAAACUGUUCCGAAGUACAUGUUCAUAUAGCAAGAUCAUAUUGAAUUAAAGUGCAUUUACAUUUUUGAUACUUUAAAAUUUUGUAUAUUCAGUUGAAUUGAUAUUUGAAAAUCAAUUGCAAGGUACAUAUAUGUACAUGUUGAUACAUUUUUUUAUACAAUAAGGUUAAAAAAAAUUCAAAUUCUCAUAUAUAAAAAUAAAAUUUGCUUUGUCAUAUUGCUUUAUAGACAUUUUCUGCUAUGUUAAUCUGUUUCUGAACCAUACAUUUUCAAUUAGGCAUCAUUAUACAUGCUUACUUUAAUCUAAUUAGAUAUUUGUUAAAAGCUAUUUUGCAUGCAAUGUUUUUUAUAGUUUGUGAUUCAUAUUUUGGUAUUUAAAAAAAAUGUGCUGAUUAUAUCAAAUCAACUAUUUGUCUAUGUUAGUUUACCCUCAGAAAAUCUAAAAGUACUCAAAAGAUACCGAGUAUCACGGAUUAGAAUUAUGGUGCACUGUUUUGUUCAAAACCAAUAUGUACCAUAUAAGCACAUGCAUAAUAAACACCAUUGUUGGAUCUCUUACCAAAGGUGUAUGCUAAACUGGCUGUGGGUUUCCGACGACGAAAGAACGCAACAGGUGUGAAAUUUUAGCUACAGGUAAUAUUAUUACUCAGUGUAUAUCAGUUCUAAACAGGGGUUGCAUUUUCUCUUUUUUAUGUACUUGUAUAUUUUUGAAUCAUGUUAACUGUAUAUAAACCUUCUAUGUUGAUUGUGAUGAUUCAAGAUUAUUUUUUUAUAAACUGUUAUAGAUGUUUACUUCAAGCUUUUGUUGAAAUUUCUCUUUCUAAAGUUAACAAUAAAUUCACAUAAAAG
rnacentral:misc_RNA from 1 species